AGGGAGCAAACGACCUCCCCUACACUUGGAUCCCCUGACAUGUGUCGUGCAUUGAGCUGCUGGUGGAUAAUGCAACCCUUCUCCCCACGGUAUUUAGUAUUAAUAUUCCUAAAAUAUUAUUAUAGGAAUAUUCCUAAUUAUAUUUCCAUAUUCCUAAAUACUAUGACAGCGAGGCAAAGAUAAGGUAAGGCUGAUGGAGACCCUCAACUCCCACA